GUGUCAGCCGCCGCGGUAAGACAGAGGAGCCAAGCGUUGUCCGGAGUAACUGGGCGUAAAGCGCACGCAGGUGGUUCUGUGCGUGGGGUGUGAAAGCGCUCGGCUUAACUGAGCGAGGCCACCUCAUACGGCAGAGCUCGAGGCUGUGAGAGGUCCACGGAAUUGCCGGUGUAGUGGUGAAAUGCGUAGAGAUCGGCAGGAACACCCAGGGGGAAACCAGUGGACUGGCACAGUACUGACACUCAUGUGCGAAAGCGUGGGGAGCGAACCGGAUUAGAUACCCCAGUAGUCC
rnacentral:rRNA from 1 species